rnacentral:tRNA from 1 species
ACUUAAAUAGCUUAUAAAGAGCAUGGUUUUGAAGAAACUAAGGAAAUAAUUUAAUUUUUAAGUA